rnacentral:tRNA from 2 species
CAGGGGAUAUUUUAUUUAAAAUGUUAAUUUUGGGGAUUAAUGAAAUGGUUUUUUCCUUUCCUCUGA